CUUACAUAGACUCAUUGGACCACCUGCAGCGCGAUCAAGAUGUUCCAGUGAGUCAAGAUGGCGGACGGUUCUCCACUAACCUGCUUCAAGGCCGGUUCUGGCACUUUUUGUGAGAACUCCGGCCUCCGUACGUUUAACCUCAGAUUGACAGGGACAGGUUGACAAGCAAUUUCAGGGCAUGUCUUUAGCAUCUGACACUGAAAGAAAAUGCAACCUCUCCACAUACAGGAUGAAAUUUGCAAGUUCAGGAAAUUCUCAGAGUCGUGAUAUACCGAGGCCAGGAAACGAUGACUUCACUCCAAGAGGGCUAUGUUAGGAAUGAAGCGCAGCUGCUCCUGAUUUACACCGAUCAUCGAUCUGACCUGGAUGGUGCUCAGCAAUUGGCAGAUAAUGUCUGGAACGUCUCAAAGGAUUAUGUGUAACACUUGUAAAAAAAAAAAAAAUGUGGAACAGCCUGAAAUGUUGGAUACUUCCUGCAACUAAUAAAGUUUUUA